rnacentral:lncRNA from 1 species
CGUCUGGACGAACCCUACCGACUCUCAUGGGUACGACAUUUAGACGGUAGGGUUCGUCCAGACGACCAUAGGCACGGUAGCGCUCGUGGUGGCAGAGGGCUACAACACACUGUCCUACAACAUACUGUCAAUAUAAACAAAGCAGUUCAAAAGUGUCAAUUCAGGUUUAUUGCAGGUUUAGUGCCGUUUCUCACAGUCACAGUAUGUCAGGAACCUAAACGUUCAGGUAACUUCUUGACCGUAAUUUUGGCAGAGGCAGAGGCCGAGUUACCCAGUCUGAUGAAGUUGUAGCAGUUUCUAAUCAAGAAACUGCUAGUGAAAUAACUCCCAGUCUAAUGAAAGAAGUGGUGUACAGGAUAUCAUUCAUUCAGUCGAACUGGAAAAGACAUCAUUGAAGCAAGCAUUUCACAAUUUAACAAGUAGAAAAAGGAAGCAAUCAAGAAAGCGAGUGGAAAACUCGCAUGAAAGACAAAGAAGAUGCUUGGGAUGCCAAGAGAGAUGCUGUCUUUCAAAACUACAUUAGCUCCCGUUCCUAUAGUGCAAGUAAAUGUGGUGUAUGUGAAAAAGGCACUAAUCCUGUUUGUUGCUUUACUUGCAAGCAAGAUUUCUGCAGCAAAUGUGAUAUGAUCACUCACCGCAAACUGUUAUUGGUACUACACAAUGGGGAGGUGUGUGAGAAUGGCGAAAAUUUAAAAUUCUUGCGCCAAAACAAGUUCAUAUCUGAAGAUGGGUACAUCACUGUUGAAGUGUCCCUUCCUGUCCAGAAUGCAAAAGCCCUCAUUCGUGUACUACGAAACCUGGUUCAAGAGACGUAACCGUAGUUACAGCCAAUGGUAAAUGAGGGCAACUUCACGGAGGACAACCGAUUACCAGGAUUACAUCGACGAAGACACAGCCAAUUAUCAAGACUACGCUGAUGAAGAAAAUGAAGACAACAAUUAUUAUCCAUCGUUUAAAACGCUCACAUAUAUUUAUGCAAAUCUUGUAAUUACAUUUGAAAUAGAGCUAUUGUUUGAAGGGAAUAAAAGUAUUCUUACGAG